rnacentral:lncRNA from 1 species
UUCAAGUCCCCUCUGCGUCCCGCGCCGCCGCGGCUCUGUUUCCAGUCGAGCAGAGGACGCCCGCUCAUCUUGCCGGUUGACCGUGUGCCGCCCGCGUUGGCCUAUCCAGCCACUGGCCCAGCUCCAGCCACUCCUGCACCACAUCGGGCCCAGAUCUGCCAGCUCCCUGGAGCCUAAUGUGAGCAGCGCAGAUCCAUCUAUUUCGGCCCGGCUACAUUUUUUUCCCCUGCUGAUGAUUUUUCUAUUUUUCCAAUGCAUGCAUAAUUACAGGAAUGCCACUGUUUUGUAUUGUUAAUAACUAAACAUGCAUGCAUCCAAAUUAAACAAACUAUAUAUGUAAAAUGCUUAGAAUUUCAUCUAGUUUCAUAAUAUGCCAUUUUCAUCCAUGUUUAAAAUGUUUAACUUGUUGUUUGUUUAAAUUUGCUAACAUGCCAUGUUAAAAUGCUUUAUUUCAUAACUAAGUAGCCGUAGCUCCAAUUUUAAUAAACUUUAUAUGUAAAUGGGGUGGAAAAAUGCCUAGAUUAACUUGGUGCACUCAUCUUGCAUGUUUAACAACAUUAAAAUAUGGUUUAGGGAAGAACAGUACCGAAUCUAAAAUAUGCACAUGGGGAUUUUCCGGACUUGUUGUUUAUUAUUCCGGCCUUAUUUAAAUUUGCCUAAAUAGAUGGCUUUAUUAUGUUUCACCUCUUGCCAUGUUUAACAACAUUUAAUAUUGUUGGGUACAUAACCGAGAUCAAACUAAAUAAUUGCAUGUGGUGUUUUGUCAAUAUGCAACUCGUUGCAUAUUGAGCUCCACUUAAUUUGUAGUAUUGUGUGUUGCAGUUUGCCAUGCCAUGCCUCUUUAAACCGGACAUGCAUCAUACUUGAUUGUGCAUCAUGCCAUGAUUAUGCUUGUGUGUUUACCAUGUUGUUUGUUUCUUUUCGGUGUUGCUUCUUAGUUCCGGUAAUGUUGCGAUUGUGAG